rnacentral:rRNA from 1 species
AGAGUUUGAUCCUGGCUCAGGAUGAACGCUAGCGGCAGGCCUAACACAUGCAAGUCGAGGGGCAGCACAGAAAUAGCUUGCUAUUUGGGUGGCGACCGGCGCACGGGUGCGUAACNGCGUAUGCAACCUACCCUGUACUGAGGGAUAGCCCGGAGAAAUUCGGAUUAACACCUCAUAGUAUUGAGAGAUCGCAUGAUUUUUCAAUUAAAGGUUACGGUACAGGAUGGGCAUGCGUCCUAUUAGCUAGAUGGUAAGGUAACGGCUUACCAUGGCUACGAUAGGUAGGGGGCCUGAGAGGGUGGUCCCCCACACUGGUACUGAGACACGGACCAGACUCCUACGGGAGGCAGCAGUGAGGAAUAUUGGUCAAUGGGCGCAAGCCUGAACCAGCCAUGCCGCGUGCAGGAAGAAUGCCCUAUGGGUUGUAAACUGCUUUUAUUUAGGAAUAAACCUUACUACGUGUAGUAAGCUGAAGGUACUGAAUGAAUAAGCACCGGCUAACUCCGUGCCAGCAGCCGCGGUAAUACGGAGGGUGCAAGCGUUAUCCGGAAUCAUUGGGUUUAAAGGGUCCGCAGGCGGAUGUAUAAGUCAGUGGUGAAAUCCUAUCG